rnacentral:tRNA from 1 species
ACUUUCCUAAUAUAACCAGUAUAAAUGACUUCCAAUCAUUUAGUUUCAGUUAAAACCUGAAGAAAAGUA